rnacentral:rRNA from 1 species
UACGAAGGGGGCUAGCGUUGCUCGGAAUCACUGGGCGUAAAGCGCACGUAGGCGGAUCCUUACGUCGGGGGUGAAAUCCUGGAGCUCAACUCCAGAACUGCCUUCGAUACUGAGGAUCUCGAGUCCGGGAGAGGUGAGUGGAACUGCGAGUGUAGAGGUGAAAUUCGUAGAUAUUCGCAAGAACACCAGUGGCGAAGGCGGCUCACUGGCCCGGUACUGACGCUGAGGGGCGAAAGCGUGGGGAGCAAACAGG